rnacentral:lncRNA from 1 species
UCUCAGUCCCGCACUGCCGUCCCGCCCCGCCCUGUGCCCGCCAAUCCACGACGCCAUAAUCCCCCGCCGUGUCCCUCCCUUCCUCCCCAUUGGUUGUGACCGCACGUCAGCCCGACUCAGCCUGCCAAUCGCAGGACCCAGAGGGCCCUCUCCCCCGCCCGCUCAGUGUAAUUCGAGUUCCCUGUCCAUCGACUCCAAGUCCUCUCUCCUGCGCCGCAUGCUGCCUCGCGCUCCCUUUCCUUCCCCCUCUACCCCCUUCCGCGAUUUACUGUUUCCUCGCGCCCAACAGAAAUGGGCGACCGCAAGUCUUACUCUCGCCGGCGUUACAAAGAAAGGAAGGAGGAGACCUGAACAGUACAUCCGGAGAAUCCAGCAAAGCAUACUACGGCAUGAACGUGCAAGUGGACAGAAUUAAAACACAUGCCAGAAACACUAAUGGAUUCUAAACAAGAUGCAGUUUCAUUUCCUGAGCCUAUACGUGAUGUUUUUAACUGUUCUCCAGUUAAUAUGUCUCCAUUUCCAGAAAUCUAACAGGAGAAUCUCUGACUGCUUAACAGAUCACCUAAGCUUGCGAUUUGUGCAAUCCUUUCUAGAGUAAGGGCUCCCCGGCUGCUCCCCGGCCACUGUGUACCCAAAGCAGCGGCUGAAAUAGCCCGGAGUCCAACAGCUCAGCGUCAAGCAGCUCGUGGCAAACGCAGCCGCCGGUCUUGACUGCCAUCGCCCAAGGGGUUCCUCUGGGCUCUCCCGCGAGCCAACAGCCGACCUCUCUCCAGCCUAGUCUGGGAAACUCCAGCCAACCCAGGAUCCCAUUUUGUAGUCCCGGGCAGACCCGAAACCCCUGAAAGAACUCCACUCCAGAAGACGCCAGAACAAGUUCCCACGAAUUUCAUGGGCGCCCUUCACAUGAAAACCUCAGCUCCCCUAUCCUCAAGGAACGGGGAAGGGCGCCGGGGAGGGACUUCGGUGGCCAGCUGUCCCUGGGUCGUGGGCGCUGUUUGCUCUGCGGAGCGCCAGCCCUGCACACAGCGGGUGCGGGAAGCGUUGAUGGGAGGCUGGAGGGCGGGGUGAGCGUAAACUAGGAUCUAGCCGGUUCCAGGCGUGGAGAAUCAAAUGUGGUCCUAGAUCUGUAAGUUGCGAAAAGGGGCUUUUGGGAGCGUCAGAGCUUUCUCACUCCGGUCCCCCGCCGCCUUGAGGCUGGCAGAUUUAUACCCCACAGGUGGAUGGAGACCUAAACAAAACAGUCCCGGCCGCUGCCUGCCGCUCGCCCCCCACGUCCCCCGGGCCCACCGCAAACUUCAACAAAAUAAACAACUCACCACAGGCAUUCCCUUGUCUGCAGCGCGACGCUUGCCAGCUGGGAAAAUAAGCCGCAAGCCACGCGGCCGAGGCGCG